AACUUCUCUCUCUCUCUCUCUCUCUCUCUCUCUCUCUCUAAUACUAUUUGUCAAUAAUUUCUGUCUCAUUCUAAUAACAAGUUUGAAAGAAAAGAAUGGUGUCUAAAGUAGAAGAAGCAAUGAAGAGUCAGCAACAGCAACAGCAGAAACAGCAGCAGCAGAAUCAGCAACAGAAACAAAUAAUUCAGUGUAACAAGGGAAAAUCUGGAAGCAAGUUCAAGAGAAGCAGUUCCAGCUUGGAAGAGGAUGGUGCCUCUUCUGCUAUUCUCUUCCUCGCUUGCAUAGCAUGUGCCCCUUCCUAUGCCUAAUUAAAAACAUAUACUAUUCUACAAUUUCACACCUCUCAUCUCAGCAGCAGCAAAGAUAUAUGUAU
rnacentral:lncRNA from 1 species